CUGCCCACGUAUCUCUAACUGCAAAACUUGUGUAGAAACUUCUCCCUCCACUUCUCCACUUACCCUUAUUAGCUUCUUUGUUGUAUAAACACAUUCAUCACUCCACUGACACAGAAACCUCUUUUUUUCUGCAACAAUGGAGCAAAUCGAAAAAUCAGAAGCAAUCUCAUGGUAAGUAUUUCUCCUAAUAUACCAAAUUCAAUAAUUGUGUUUCUUCAUUGCUUUGCAGAUACCUGAUGGCGGCAAAAAGUAGAAUCCACAGCUCGAUUAUUUUUGGGGUUUUAUAUGUUUGGAGAAGGAAUUGAAUUUUCUAAUUCUUUGGUCUCUUAAUUUCCAUCAUUACCGAUCUCUGCACUUUCCACUCCCUUAUUUUCAUUUUUUUCCGCCUACAAAAAGUACAGAAUUGAAGAUGAUUUUGAAUACGAUCUUUGUUGCUAUUCUGGACGAAUUCUCAAUUUGGUUUCGGAUUUUCAAAGAGAGAUUUUGUUUUCAAAGAGAAUUUGGUGUCACCAGAUUUGGUCUUCUUCAACUACAUCACACUGUUUUCUUUCCACCAACCCAAAUUUUUCCUGUUGUGUGAAGCCUGUUUUUACCAUUUAUUUGUGUUUGAUAAGUUGGAGAUGACUGCAAUAUUGAAGAUCAAGGAGACAAGUAAUCCUCCUAUUUGCUUGAUCGGAGGGAGGGAAAAAAACAUGAAUGUCUAACUUGGGGAAUUGACAGCAAACGGGUUUUGAGGUGUUGAAUAGCUCUUCAGUCUUGCGAAAUCGUUGGUGGCAUAAAAAAAUCUCUGCUAGACCGCAAGGCUGGGACGCGCCGCCGCUGACAAGAAGAGGAGUUCAUUGUGACGGUGACGAAGAACAAGAAUCGAAGAAGCUAAAAAAUGAUGAUGGUGUUUGUAAUAAUGAUGAUAGAUAAGAGCUCCAAGUAAUCUGGCUGGCUUAGAUCUGUUUAGCUAUGGAACCAAUCCCUAAUCUGCGGAAAGAGCGAUUCCCCAAGGAAAAAUUGUUGUGACGGAGGUGAAGAUAAAUGGUAGUGGUGAGUGAUGACGCAUUUCAUCUGUUUAAGAAUUAGAAGAAAAAUUGUUGUGACGGAGGUGAAGAUAAAUGGUAGUGGACAAGCUUCUGGAUGGGACAAGCAUCACCCAUUUGUUUCUCAUUACUAAGUACCUCGGUUUGUUUGAGAGCUACUAGCAUAACAGG